rnacentral:ncRNA from 1 species
GAGAGCGCAGUACAGCGGAGAGUUGUAUGCUGCGUUCGGGAAGGAUGAAUCGCUCCGAAAACGAAUCUACUGAUUCUCUCCAAAUUGGUUGGACUGUAGGUGCGACGAUUUACUUCAC